GAUGAACGCUGGCGGCGUGCUUAACACAUGCAAGUCGAACGAACCUUCGGGUUAGUGGCGGACGGGUGAGUAACGCGUGAGAAUCUGCCCUCAGGAGGGGGAUAACGGCUGGAAACGGCCGCUAAUACCCCAUAUGCCGCGAGGUGAAAUGAAUUUCGCCUGAGGAUGAGCUCGCGUCUGAUUAGCUAGUUGGUGGGGUAAAGGCCUACCAAGGCUUCGAUCAGUAGCUGGUCUGAGAGGAUGAUCAGCCACACUGGGACUGAGACACGGCCCAGACUCCUACGGGAGGCAGCAGUGGGGAAUUUUCCGCAAUGGGCGAAAGCCUGACGGAGCAACGCCGCGUGAGGGAUGAAGGCCUCUGGGCUGUAAACCUCUUUUAUCAAGGAAGAAGAUCUGACGGUACUUGAUGAAUAAGCCACGGCUAAUUCCGUG
rnacentral:rRNA from 1 species